UACAGAGACUGCAAGCGUUAUUCGGAUUCACUGGGCGUAAAGGGUGCGCAGGCGGUCGCGUGUGUCAGGUGUGAAAUCUCGGGGCUUAACCCCGAAACUGCGCCUGAAACUACGUGACUAGAGCAUUGGAGAGGGUAGCGGAAUUCACGGUGUAGCAGUGAAAUGCGUAGAUAUCGUGAGGAACACCAGAGGCGAAGGCGGCUACCUGGACAAUUGCUGACGCUCAGGCACGAAAGCGUGGGGAGCAAAAGGG
rnacentral:rRNA from 1 species